UCAUAUGGGAGAAUCAUAUUUUACUUGAAAACCUAAAGCAGGGUUUUGAAAAAAGCAGUCACAAUCUUUAGAAGAUAGGAAAAGAUAAAAAUUAUUUUUGUAAAAUCUUCAUAUUUUUUUCGGCGAGCCUGGAAAUCUUGGGCCUAUCAUGUGAUUUUUGUGGUUAUUUUUUCUGCAUCGGAACUAUCCAGCUGUCAUGAUUCUUGCAAUUGUUUGCCUGUUACUUUAAAGUCUGUCAAUAAAAAAUGAAACCCUGUUAUAUUUUCCAGUUCAAAUGAAGAGAUCAAGACCUCCCAAAGAACCGCACCGGAAUGCUAAGAAACAGAAAGAGGCAACUGUAAAACCUAAAAAACCACCUGUAGUCGAGGUCCGCGUUCUUGAUGCAGCAAAAGAUCCUUGUUCGGAGACAAGCUCUGAAAGCAGUAAAAAAGUCACAGCUGCUGAAUCAUACAGACAACUUGUAGAAGCAAUGUCAUUGUGGGCGAUGAAAGAAGUGCAACGCCUAGAAAAACACCUGUAAAAAGUACUAACUUAAUUUCAGUCGAUACUGCAAUAACGCCUUCUAAACCAGACCCAGGCCAGACUAAACCUAAAGAAGAUUCAGAUAUUCCUGUUGAAAUUGCAUCAAAGCAAGAAACUGCAUCUAUGUCUGUUCCGAACGUACCCAAAAUCGAAACUGCAGAAGACACCACAUCAACUGAGGCUGCACCCAGCUGUGGUGUCGUACCCAUUGAAAAUCGAGGUGAGGAAGAAUCUUCUCUGAAAAGUACUGACAGUGUAUCUGGAGUAACCGAGACCACUAACCAACAUGAUACCACAAAUCUUGGCACGAUUCCAACUCAUAAAGAAUUGAUCAGUAUUGCCCCCGAGUUGACGUCAGCAAACUCCAGUAAUUCUUUGACUGGUACGCAGACUACUCCUAUGCCUGCAGUAUUGCAAGGUAACAUUUUCUUUUAACUUUUGUAUUUCCUCUCUUCUUUUUUAAUUACAUUAACUAUUUCAAUUGUAGUCCAAUGAUGACAAUAGAUAGAUAAGAUAGAUAGAGAGAUAGAUAGAUAAGAUUUUUAUUUUUCCACAAUUUCCAUAAUACACAAAGCUACAAUAACUAGAAAAUCACCUCCCAAGGCAUUUGCCGUCUGGGGGAUUCCACGCAAUUUUACAACUUUUUACAACGUCCAAAUAGCCAAUGUCAGAUAAGCACAUACUUGGAUCCGUGCACAGUAAAAAGAUAGAGAAUAAAUAAAAAAUACAAAUACAAAUAAACAAGUAGAAUUUGAGACUUAAAAAAUUUUAAAAUUUCAAAAUUCCCAGUA
rnacentral:lncRNA from 1 species